AGCUCCAAUAGCGUAUAUUAAAGUUGUUGCAGUUAAAAAGCUCGUAGUUGGAUCUCGGGAGCCGGCGGGCGGUUCGCCUCGCGGCGUCUACUGCCCGCUCCGGCCCUACCUGCCGGUUCACCGUGGGUGCCCUUGGUUGGGUGCUCGUGGCGGCCGGGACGUUUACUUUGAAAAAAUUAGAGUGCUCAAGGCAGGCGGCUCGCCUGAAUAAUGCUGCAUGGAAUAAUGGAAUAGGACCUCGGUUCUAUUUUGUUGGUUUUCUGAACCAGAGGUAAUGAUUAAGAGGGACAGACGGGGGCAUUCGUAUUGCGGCGUUAGAGGUGAAAUUCUUGGAUCGCCGCAAGACGAACGACUGCGAAAGCAUUUGCCAAGAAUGUUUUCA
rnacentral:rRNA from 1 species